rnacentral:rRNA from 1 species
AGUGAACGCUGGCGGCGUGCCUAACACAUGCAAGUCGAACGAUGAUUGAGAGCUUGCUCUCAUGAUUAGUGGCGCACGGGUGAGUAUACCAUAGAUAAUGUACCUCUUAGUUCGGGAUAGCCACUGGAAACGGUGAUUAAUACCGGAUACUCCUUCUUGUCUCAAGGCAAGUCGGGAAAGUUUUUUCGCUAAGAGAUCAGUCUAUGUCCUAUCAGCUAGUUGGUGAGGUAAUGGCUCACCAAGGCAAUGACGGGUAUCUGGUUUGAGAGGAUGAUCAGACACACUGGAACUGAGACACGGUCCAGACUCCUACGGGAGGCAGCAGUGAGGAAUAUUGCACAAUGGAGGAAACUCUGAUGCAGCAACGCCGCGUGGAGGAUGACGCAUUUCGGUGUGUAAACUCCUUUUAAGAGGGAAGAUAAUGACGGUACCUCUUGAAUAAGCACCGGCCAACUCCGUGCCAGCAGCCGCCGCGG